rnacentral:lncRNA from 1 species
UCCUGGGAUUUGGUGCCCCCAUAGUGGAGGUUUUGCACCAAUGUCGGGAUCUAUCUGCAGGUACAGGAAAUUCCCCUUCAACAUAUGAAUAAGAUUUUUAUGGGGAGGAUGGACAAGUGUUGAACCAAGUUGCUGUGAAGUCUCCAUCCCUGGCGAUACUUGGAGCCUAUCAGGACAUGCUCCUGAGCAGCCUGCCCAAGGUGCCCCAGCUCAGAGAGCCAUCCCCUCCCGAGGGUCCGGUGAGCUCCAGGACACCCAGUGUCUGCCAAAACCUUCUGCCUGUCCCCAGCCAGAGACACAGGCGCCUUGGCUCUGAUGGAAAACAGGAUGCUGCUGCUCUGUGGGCCCUUGCUGUGACCAUGCUGAAAGAGGCAGAAAGAGGAUGGAGGUCCAAGGCCACUCUUGCUGUCGAAACCAAGGUGCCUGAAGGUCUUCCUAGUGCAGCACUUGCAUGUUAUCUGGUCAGCAGGACGUACAUGCGAACUCUUUCUCAGCAGACCGAGACGGAACAAGGGUCACUCACCCCUGUGCCAUGCUGGCGGCCGGUGCUGCUCAAACCCUGUCCUGCUCUGGUGCUACCGAGGUGCUCAGGCACAGCCAGGAUCCUCAGGGAGCUGUCUGUUGGCUCAGUGCUCGAGGUCUCACACAGCACAGCAGCCUUGUUCAGGCUCUUUCCUCCUCACUUGCUCCCCUACUUAGGGCUGUGUUCAGGUUGUAUUUGUCUAAGCGGAUGCCCAGUACAGCUCUCAGCUCCAAGCUGGGAUCUUCCUUCCCAAACUCUUGCUCUGCGUGGGGUCUCUUCAGAUGCAGGAGAUGUUGGUGGUUCCUGGUUAGUCCCAUGACUGGGUUGAAGGGAGACAAUGCAGGCAGCAGGCUGCCAUCCCUGGGGACACCCCUGCACCCCCUGAGGACUGGGGAUGCUUUACCUUCAAUUCUUUCACCCAGCUCAUGUCCCUCUCUCCCCUGACCCCAGGGAGAAGGGAUUUGGCAGUCUGCAGCCUCUCCACCUGCUUUGCUUUGCACAGCCACCCCACUCCAAAACUUGUGAGGAUUGCCUGAGGUUUACAACCAGCUGAACUCCCUGCAGGAAGGGCUGAGGAUGGCAGGGCGUGAAGUUCUCCUUGUGCAUCUCUAAACUUUCUCUGCCAGGGUUAAUUUUCCUUUUUCCCCACUUUUUCUCCCCUCUGCUGCAUUCAGCAGCAGACAGCAUGUGCUGAUAUGCACUAAGGUAGAGAAUAAAACAGAACUUCAUCCUGUUUAGUACCUGCUU